ACAUUGAAACGCGCGCGCACACACACGCACGCCACGAACGCCACCGACGCUCGCUAAACCCAGCAAACCGACUUACACACGCGGAAACAGAGAAGGCGCGCGCUUGGGAUGCAUGGGCACGUGUACGCAGAGCUUACUGUAUCUCUAUCUUUCUUUGUACCUCAGACGAUUCCUUUUCCUUUGUUGUUCUCAUGUGUUUCACCGUGCAUGUGUGACCGACUCCCCCCUUCCAUCUACCUCGAGAUACAUACACACAAACGCAUGCACAGACACAUGCAUACACGUCCCUUGUACAUGUGACAGACGUAUGUGCACUUCUCCCUCACCUGCCCUUCUUUCUCCCCUUCCCUUCUCCUUCUUCCAUCACGUGAUGUGCCUCGUCUCGAAUGUAUUAUCAUCAUAUGUCUGUUACCGCAUGUAUGUGUACGUGUUUGCGUGUACACCGUUGUAUGGCUUUCUCUUCUUGCGAAUCCGGUCUCGACUCAACCAACGAAGGCAAGCAAAGAAGAGCAUGAUUGCCCAUCGUGACGUGGAAGGGUGAGGCGUGCUGCAUGGCUGGGACUGGCGUGUAUGGCAGGGCAUACCCACGAAACACAGCGGCACGACGCUACCCGCUUUACCAUGGCAUUCAACGCCUACUCGGGCUUUCACGUGGGUUGAGUUCGCCCCUCCCCCGAGAAGGCCCGUACUGGAUAAGGAGCUGGAGCGGAUGUCGCACCCGAAUAUCCAGGGGCUUUGCCCCUUGCCUUCUCCCUUCCUCUUCGCUCCCCACCCCUGCACCUCCUUCUGCGUUUAUGCCUUUCCUCCCCCCCCCCAUACGCUCUUUCACGUUCUCUUUCGCUACCCUGCUCCCUUCUACGUCCGUUACCCCAUCGACUGGAUGGCGACCCCGUAUCCACGCUUCACGCACACGCACUCAUAUGCGCGAUUCUAUCCCCUCUGCGUUGCUGUUUUACGCGUUGCUUGUGCCGCGCCACGUUCCCGAUUGCCCGUGAUGCGUGUGGGGGUCUGCGAG
rnacentral:misc_RNA from 1 species